rnacentral:lncRNA from 1 species
CAGGGCAAGGGCGCCAAGUUAGACCACAUGGGAAAAACACAGGAGAAAUUAAAAGAUUUCAACGCCAGAAGGAAGCUCAAGGCUGGAAUGUAUGGUGUUAUGGUUGUUCAAGACAUGACAGUCAGGGCUGGCAGGCGGGCAAGUGCUAUCAAAGACGAAUAAAAAUGAAUUUGUUUCCAAGUGCCACUAUAAGUCCAACGAUGACUUUUUGGUGCUUGUAAUUUGUGGGUCAUUUUGAGAAAAAAUGCAUGAUAUUUUUCUGUGGUAGAAACCUCUUCUUAAUCAACUUGAAUUUUUAGCAGCAAAAGAAACGAAGGAAAACUAGUUUGUAAUUCAUCUUAUCACAGGAAUUUUUUUACAAAAUCGUUAAUGGUUUUGAUCAAGAGGAGUAAUGAGGUUCCUUACUAUUGAAAUAUCGCGCAUUUCUUUUCAAACUGCCGCAAAUAUUACGAAUGUCGGAAGUCAUAUUUGGGAUAGUCAGCUGCACUUUAUUUUUACGUGGAAGCUUCAACGAGAAGAGUCAGAAUAUUGCUUGACACUACAAAUGGGCAAUGACAUAAUUUGUAAUGUUGGCUGCGCAUUCAAAAAAUACGCGAAAUAUUUAUUUUUAACUUAUCUACGAAGUAAUUGCGCAGUCCAUAGGGAAUGGCCGGUAUGCUGUGGAUCUCGACCAAAGUCAUUCCCAUCUUUUUUCAUGUUUAUGUGCGAUUGUUAUAACAGUAUGUAUUUGCUAAAACAUUGAAACAAUUUCAAAGGUGAAUUGUUAUGGUGAAAGUCUGCUUGCACGCGAGCCUCCUGUUGAUAAGAGCAGAGAUGGUCUUAAUAAACAGAGCAGUCUGAUAAAUAUCUUUCUUUGAAUGAGGCAGGGCUUUUUUAGAAGGGGAUUAUUUUUAUGGUAUAUGCGCACAGAUGCACUAUCCAGCUCAACCUCGUUCCCCGAGCCUGCGAUCCUCGGGAAGGAACGUGAGGCUCUGGGAUAAUCCGUUUCAGGGAGGAAUCUGAUUGGCUGUUAAUAUGAAAUGCGCAGUUCGGUCUUAGCCAGGAUUCCUGGCCUCCGGCAACGGAUUAUCCCAGAGCCUCAUGUUCCUUUCCAAGGAUCGCAGGCUCGGGGAACGAGAUUGGAUCUUGCGCCAUUUUGGUCAUCAUGGGGCCUGGAAACAAGUUUCAAAUUUUCCAAGAUGGCGCGCGAAAUACACUAUUUUUAAAAACUCGCUUUGGUCUUUGGACAUUUAUAAUAAUAUGACCUGUUAAUAGAGUACGGAAAAACUAACUGUAUCGCUCAAACGUCUAUUGUUAAUCAGGUAGGUCUAGUUUUACUUUGGUUUUGUGCUAUAGAUACGAUACACGUAGACCUGAGCUGUCCAGUGGGGGUGUUGUUUGUGUCUGAAAAUGGAACUACCUGAAAAAAAGUAUCAAAUAGAGGUGUGGCGAUGGGGGGGGGGGUCGUCUUGCCUCGAUUUUGUAAGAAAGAAAUAGUGCAAAUAAAACUGAUCCUGAAACUGAUAAGGGGUAGGGAGGGUACCCCCUAUUAUUAUACAAGAUGUAAAAGAUGAUAAUACCAGUGUUAUUAUUUCAGAUUUACGAAUGUGAAUUAUUUAUUCUUGAAAUGAUGAACUAUUGUCUAUAAAUCCUUUACCACCUCGAUAUGUCUGAAUAUGUCUCCUGCAUCCUCCAUUAUACCAAAUUACCCUAUACAUAGUACAUGGCUUGUGUUGUCAAAAACAAGGAUGCUAGCAAAUUUUUCAAAGAGCUUUGUGUUGAUAUGGAGAAAAUUCUCGACAUUAUGCAGGACAUUUUAAAAUAUUACGGAAAUUCUUAAACUAGGAGGAAUAAAAUGGAUGCCGGAGAUCCUGGCCAAGGCACCAAAGCCAAAAAUGAGCAGCAGGCCAUCCUCUUCAGCUAGCACAAACUUGUAGUAUUUGUCGCAAUCUCCAGUCAGGGUUUCAUCUCAGAGUGGUACUCCAAGAUAGCUAAAGGUGUGCACAGGAAACAAGUAAGAAAAUAUUAAGUAUUUGUUUACAAUACGCAUGUGAAUAAGUAAGAUAUAGCACAUUAAUAUUACCUUUAAUAUUGGUAAGUUAUACCACAUUAAUAUUACAAUAAUAUUACCUUUAAAAUAGGCGACUUAUGUUAGUUACUCUCCUGACCUCUAAAGGCAACGGUUUCAACUGGAUAGAUCUUAUUUGCAUAACUCAAUGUUUUCGCAUUGAAAUAUGUAAAAAGUUGUACAGAAAAUAUUGUACUGUAAAAUUUGUUAAAGUUAGCAGUCUGCAUACUGGUUUAGCAAAAAUUAAAUGGCUUUCUAAAAGUUUUGAAAUCAACAAAGAGUGAAUUAGGAAUUUAACCCAAUAACACAAACAUGGUUCCAAACAUGGUCACUCUUUUUUGUUUUUGUUUUUUGGUCUGUCGAUACAAGGUCAAAAUUUUGUGUUAAAUCACUGAAAAAAUCGAACAGACCGUAUGUCCAAACAGAAAAUGUC